ACCACGAUGACCGAGUGGUCUAAGGUGUUGGACUUAAGAUCCAAUGUUCAAUUGAACGCAUGGGUUCGAAUCCCAUUCGUGGUA
rnacentral:tRNA from 1 species